CCCUGUGGGCGGAGUAAGGGGGAUCGUGCACAGACACACGCACACCCCCCCGGAGGGGCGUGGCGCUCGGCGUGUUCCUUGUCUCCGAGCGCGGUCGCCGCCGAGGCUGGUGCGCAGGGGCCAAGUUCUUCUUGCUAAGAACGCUGUUAUCUGUGCUUGUGCCCAGCUCUCCUCUGGGCCCCUUUGCCUUCCUUACCAAGUGCUAACUUAUUUGGGAGAAACGUAUGGUUUGCCCUCCAUCCCGCAGCAUCCUGUGCACUUUUCGCUCCUGAUCGUUCGCCAAGGACGGCCAGGCAUGUUUGUUUCUGGAAAAUGAAAUAGAAAUUAAAUUUACAACAGAAGUUACUUGGCAAGUAUUUAUGUGACCCUUAUUUUCUCUAGCUCUUAAAUUUCACUCUUGCAGGUUUUUAAACCCUAUGUGUGUGUGUGUAUUUGAGCUAACUAUACUGAAAAAACUAAUGAAUUAGGGAAAAAAAAGCAGACAGGAAAGAAACAAUACCUUUAAAAUGUGUGACAUCAAGACUGUGUAAAACAAUGUGGAUCCUGUAUGUUCAUGCCUAUUCCAAUCCUACUGUUUUCAAACACUAAGGAAUUGUCUUCUAGAAAAUAUUUAUGGUGAAUUUUAGCCUAAAAAGGCAUUUGUUUUAUUUUAAAAUACACAUUAAUUGCAAAGAGGAACAGGACUUAAAGCACAAGAACCCUGGGACACCCUUUCCUGAGGUUCUUGCACCUAAUGCAGUCAUCACUACCACAGUCCAAGGCAGAGUAUAAAAUCCUUAGGAGACAUACAAAGGGCCAUUGUCUUAGAUGAGGUUGAGGACCAUUUUCACAGAAGAUAUGGUCCUUCCUUGGACGUUGAGGGUAGAUAUAUAGCUAUGGUGAGGCUGUGCUUUAUGGUGGGUGCUUAUGGUUGGAAAAACAAAAAUCGCACCAUAGAGCCUGGUAUGUGAAAGGGUGGGUGAUGAGACAUGAGAUCUGAACAUCAGUCUCAUGAAUUUAGACUAAAUUAUGUUGUCAUGAAAACAUUACAACCCUAAAUUAAUUGAUGCCAGAACAUAAAUCGGGAACUUUGAGAAAUCAGAGUAAGUUUGGGGUAUUCUGCAGUUGGUAUAAUGUUGUUGGUGGAAUGCUGUCGAAGGAAACCUGGAUGGUAUCUUGGCCCUGAGACAGCAUUUCUAUGGUCAUGUCCAAUACAUUCAGCUUUUUAGGCUUACUUUUCCUCAUCUGUAAGAUGAGAAAUUGGUCUGAAUGAUUUCUAAGGCCCUUUUCAUAGAUAGAAAUAUCGAUGACUUGAUAAUUCUGUGACUUUACAGAAAAAUUUCUAGCAUUGCCUUACUUGUUUGACCUCCUAAUUGAAUACACCAAAAGGUAAAGUUCAAAAACAAAACCAAAACAGAAAACCAGCCUCUUUAGUUAGCAAAUGCAAGAUCCACAAAAGUUUAUUUGCCUUGUUGGAGUGAGGUAAUGUUCGACUAUCAUUAAUUAUUGCCUAAGACUUGAUGAUGACUAAGCCUUACAAGUAAGAACCUUGAACCUGGAAAACUGAUCCAGCUUGAAAACAUCCAAAGGUUUUCUUUUAAAAAGGUGUUAUAAUUUUUCUGUUAGGUAGUUAGAAUCCAAAUCACUAAAGAGCACCUUAGUGUUUUGGUCUUUUGUUUGUUGCAGUGUUUUGAUAUGGUAUACAGGUUUUUUGUUUAAAGAUUUAUUUAUUUAUUUGAGAGGCAGAGUUACAGACAGAAAGAGGGAGAAACAGAGAAGUCUUCCAUCCACUGUUUCAUACCACAAUGGCUGCAACAGCUGAAGCUAGGCUGAUCCAAAGCCAGGAGUCCCAAGUGCAGGGGCCCAAGCACUUGGGCCAUCUCCCACUGCUUUCUCGGGUCAUUAUCAGGGAGCUGGGUAAGAAAUGGAGCAACCAGGAUUCAAACCGGCACCCGUAUGUAUUGUGGGCGCCACAGGCAGAGGCUUAACCCACUACCCCACAGUGCCAGCUGUGGUAUACAUAUUUCUGAGAGUCAUGGAAUUUUGCUGUUUUGAAUUUACAUAAUGGAUCAUUUAUUAAUCCGUUCAUCCCCUCAACAACUGUUACCUGAGCACCUGGUAGGUACCAGGUACUUGACACUGGACUUUGGGAAAAAUGCAAAACAGACAAGGAUGCUUUCUUUGUGAAGCUUACAGUCUUACUGGGGAAACACAAAAAGUGGUUGCAUUAAUAUAUAAUUACAGAUUGAGAGAAGUGCUGUGAAGAAUCUUGCCUCAACCUAGAUCUGUUCAAUUCUAAUAUCUGUGCACUUAGCCACUCACUAGUGCCCUGUCAACAUUCAACAGCAUACAGUAAGCACCGAUUAUAUGCUAGAAACUCUGUUAAGCAUUAAGACUCAAAGAUGAAUGACAUAGAGCUUUUGUCUUUGAUAAAUUUACAGCCUAGUAAUACAGAAGUUUCAGUAAAUGAAGCUAGGCCAGCCCUGGAGACAGAAACAAGCCCACAGAGAAUUCUCUGUGAUAUCAGCUAUGUUCUUCCUAUUUUAAGCUAAGCUGGCCUGAAACGUAACUGAUGGCAGGGAAUCUAGGUAAGCAGUUAUUGAGUUGUCAGCUGAGAGAUGGUGCAAGCCUGAACUAAAGGCAAUAGUAUUGGGCAGAAAGAAUCAGCAGGACGGUUGAUGAGAGGGUGGAGAAAAGAAAGAAAUGAAAGAUGACAUCCAAGUUUUAAGUUUGAGAGACUGAGUGGAAGGUAACACCAUAGAUGUAGAACAAGAGUACAAGAUUUGAAUUUGGGGUUGAGUGAGUUUGAAGUAGCCAUUGAGUAUUCUGGUAGAAAUAUCUUGUAGAGGAAUGGAAAUGCACAUCUGGAAUUCAAGUGAGUAAAUAGGUCUAGAAAAAAAGAUUUGUAAUUACUGACUUAAUAGUUGAAACCAUGCCUUGAGUUAUGUGUAUGCUGUGUAAGAAGUUUUUUUUAAAAAAGAUAAUAGAGAUAGAAGAAAAAAAUCCCUGACAUUGCCAUAGUUAAAUAUGUUCAUAAAGCCAUUUUUUAAAAUCUGGGGUGAUAUUAAACACAGUCAACUGAUGAUUAUCUAUGAUGAGUUUUUAAUAUUUUCCAGACUUUUCCUGGCCACAUAGAAAAUAUAACAGAUGAUACAUAACCUUGGAAUGCAAACCAAUUUUAAAUAUUGGCUAAAUAUUUGAGAAGAAUGCUAUAAGAGGCAUUCAGAAAUGUAAUGGAAAUGCACUAGAACAAUAUUUCCUCACAAAUAAUUUUUAUGUACUACAGUUUUGACUUCAGUUAUUUUGAUCAUAAUGUUAAUUAACCUACAAAAGUUACAAUGUUCUAAACAUAAAACUAGAUAGAAAAUUUCUUAGAAGUAAGCUCUAGUCUAUAAAACCAAAAUAUUUGCAAAAUAAAUAUGAGCAGAAGUACAAAAUAGUGAAGCUUAAAGAAGAUAUUUUCUUAAAAUUGAUGCACAAAUACAUAUUGCAAUAAUUGCCACAGAAUAGAUUGUUUUGAGCUAAAAAAAAAGGCUUUUAAUGUUCUGUGUCAUAUGAUGGCUAUAUUCUGUCUUAUAUGAAACCUUUGAACAGUUUGCUUUACCAUUAUUUGGGUUGCAUUUGUCAUACAUGAUAUUUUAAGUCUACCACUGUUUUUUUAAAAACUCAAUCUGAGACAAUUACACGCCAAUGUUAAAAGAAACCUUGUGGCAAUAUUCUGUAGUAUUAUGUUUACCUACAUGAUCUAUAAUGUGCUCAUAUUAAUAUGUAAGGUGAUAUAACUAAAAUCAUAUCAUUUGGAAGUUAUCCAGAGAAAUUGUGUACUAUUGGAAACAUAUUCAAGCCCCCUAAAGAUUCACAAACAGCACUUUGAGAAAUGCUAUCCUAGAUGAUCCAGUGUUUUUGAUUAUUUAUGCCUUGUAAAAUACCUUAACAUUAAUCUCCAGUUCCCCAAGUGUGUUCCAUAGAAUUAAUGUUAACAUGUGUUGUGGUGGGGGUGGGGAGAAGAAAUGAAGUCCUCUGCUCAUUAUUCAUAGGCAUUAUACUAGUGAAAGUUAAACAGGUUAUUUUCAAUAUGGGAAUUCCAAGACUGUUUAAUAUGUCAGCAAGCAUACACUUUGGCCCAUGGAACAUUUAUCUUUUUCUCACUUUGGAGACUUUCAUAGGGCCAGUAGUUGACUAUGUUUAUAUAUAAAUAUACCCAGAGGCAGCUGUAUUUUACAGUGAAAGCUAUUUAUAAAAUUAUCUACCAUCUAUCAGUCAUCAUCUACAUACAAAGUAAAAGAAUCAUCAGGCCCAUGAUGCUAUUUUCAGUGCCCCGUAUAGUACCCAGUUCAUAAAAUGAGCUCAGUAAAUAUUUGUUGAAUUAGUGUUGUGUUGCAUUUAUCUAUUUGUUCAUUUUAUGUCAACAGUGGUUAAUCCUACCUUGAUUUCAUGAACUAUAUUACAGUAAAUAGCUUCUGCAGGAAAGACUACAGUCACAGAGUACAUGUAACCUUCCUGCAUAACCUAUAUUAUCCUGAAGUAUCAUCAAGAAAUCUUAGAAUUUGCACUAUGCAUUGGCACUAGCCAUGUGUGGCUAUCUAAGUUACUUAAAACAGUUCAAGAAUUCAAUUCCUAAGUUGCACUAGCCACAUAUCAAGUAGGCGCUAGUCACAGGUGGCUGAUUUACAGAUCACUGAACAUUUCUGAUGCUCAAAGUUCUACUGGAAAUUUUGUGUUAGAAGAUUUGUAUCAAUUUAACCUUCUCAAAAUACUGUAAGAAAAAAAAUCAAGAAGUAGAAGCAAUAUACAAUAAUCAACUACCACCACUUUGUCCACCUAAAGCUUCUUUAGCAUAAUGAUGACAAUUAUUCAGUGCAAAGGAGCUUAGCAGUUUUGAUUUUGCUUUAGAAAAAAGUUUGAAUGAUGGCAUUCAUCGAACUGGCAGCAGCCUCUUCUGCAGGGCCAGGUCAGCCCUGGGCAAGUGGCCUGUGUAAGGCCUAUAGCAUGUAAUGUGGGCAAAGUUAUUAUAGCAGAACCUACCACUGAAAACAAGUGAGUCUUUGUUGAAGAAUAUUUCAGAACCAUUUUAAGAAUUAAGGAAAAAAAUAGAAUUCACCUUGAUCUAAAUAUCAUGCUUUGAAUCUUUUAGAUAUUGUAAGAGAAUUUUUUCUACUGUGUUAGCUUAACAGAUUCAGAAGCCAAGACAAUUCUUUGUCCUGUUUGUAGAUAAAGUUCUGACACAUUUCUCUAAUGUGCUCAGAGAACUCAAUAGAACUUCCUCUUCAGUUAUAACUCUGUAUAAGGAAUGCACUGAGGCCACCCUGUGUUCUGUAGUAGUCACAGAAGUGAGAUGAUUCCAUAGCAAGGGCACUUAACUCCCUGGAAUAGUCUGUAAACUCAUUAGCUGUCUUCUGCAGUUACUGAUGUUAGGAUGAUUUUAGGGGCCAGCGUUGUGGCAUAGCAGGUUAAAUCACCACCUGCAGUGCCAGCAUCCCAUAUGGGCGCCAGUUUGAGUCCUGGCUGCUCCACUUCCGAUCCGGCUCUCUGCUGUGGCCUGGGAAAGCAGUAGAAGAUGGCCCAAAUCAUUGGUUGCUUUGGCAAGAGUUUGCCAGAUGUGGCUGGAUCAACUUAUUUGCACCUCCAUAAUUUCCCUUAGUUGUCAAUUUUUUUUCCAAUUUGUUUGAAUGUGGUAUAGAGUUUGUCACUCACUAAAAUCAUUCCUUUUAAAAAAAAAGAUUUAUUUAUUUAUUUGAAAAGCAGAGUUAGAGAGAGAGAGAGAGAGAGAGAGAGAGGUCUUCCAUCCUUUGGUUCACUCUCCAAAUGGCUGCAAUGGCCAGAGCUGGGCCAAUCUGAAGCCAGGAGCCAGGAACUUCUUCUGGGUCUCCCACAUGGGUUGGAGGACCUAGGUCAUCUUCUACUACUUUCCCAGGCCAUUAGGAAGGAGUUUUUGGAUUGAAAGUAGAGCACCUGGCAAUCAAAUUGACGCCCAUUAGGGAUGCAAACACUGCAUGUGACGGCUUAACCCACUAUGUCACAGCACCAGCUCAUCACCUGAAUUCUGUGCUUGCAUUGCCUCAAUCUGGGAUUUUUAGUAAGAUCAAUGCUAGAUGCAGAAAAAAAAAUACAGGAAAGCCAAGAAUUAAGUUGAUAGGUAUGUGUUUGGGCUUCCAAACCCUGCAAGAAAGGACAGUGAGAAAAGCACUCACCUUUUAGCAAUAUUAUCUUUUGGGGGUAUUUUUGGAUGGAUCUGUUAAGAAGCAAUAACAGCUAAAGUCAAUAAAUUGAACGUAUUUAAAUUCAAACAGUCCCUGUAAGACUGGAUAUGUGUCAUCAGGCAACAAAUAAGCUAAACAGAGCCCAAACGAGGUCACCAUGGAUGAGCAAGCAAAUGCAAAACACAACUCUAAGACAAAGUCACUGGGGUAUAAAACAUCAGAGCGAGAAGACAACUAGGAAGAUUAUAGACUAUAAACUAUUUGUCACAGAAGCAAUGAUAGAGACCAAGAAUAUAGAAGCAACACUAGCUAUUAAUUAUUACAAAGCCCCAUACAAUUUGAGGUCAAAAAACUUAACGAGGUGUUCACGAACACAUUUCUCUCUUGCUGUUUCACUGCGCUGGUCUGUGCCUCCUUUAACCUGAACUCACACACACCGGGUUCAUGUAACUUUCAGUGCUUCUUAAGGCAGUGUACAUAUCCUCAUUCUCAUCCCUAAUUGAACUUAAGCUAGACUCAUAGUUGUCUCACAAUGUCUUUUUUUUUUUUUAAAGAAGCAGCAGAUAAUGGCCUCUGAUUUGCCAAUUAUGCUUGUUUGUAUAUAUGUACACAUGUUGGUUCACAAAAGCAGAGGAUUUUAUUUUAUAGCAGGUGAAAGACACAAGUGAUCCAUCAUUUGAACUUCCCCAAAGAAAUAUGUAUGAAGCUAGGUGAUGUAAUGGAUAUGCAACAUACUAUAGAAACUCUAAGACUGGAAUUUAGAUUUUUUUUUCUGAGAUUCAGACGUGUCAAGAAACAAAAACUAUCAAUAGAUUUUCUCAUAAGAAUAAAAAAAUGAAAUUUAAAUUUAAAUGUAAUUCCCUUAGAAUGUGAGAAAGUUUAUCUUUUUUAAGAUUUUAUUUAUUUAUUUGAGAGGUAGGAUUACAGAAAAAGAGGGAGAGACAAAGAGAAAGGUCUUCCAUCCACUGGUUCACUCCCCAAAUAGCUGCAACUGCUGGAGCUGGGCCAAUAUGAAGCCAGGAACAAGUAGCUUCCUUUGGGUCCCCCAUGCAGGUGUAGGGGCCCAAGCACUUGGGCCAUUUUCUAUUGUUUUCACAGGCCAUAGCAGAGAGCUGGAUCAGAAGAGGAGCAACUAGGAGCCGCAGGUGGAAGUUUAGCCCACUAAGCCACAACGCUGGACCCAGUUUACUCUUUUAAAGAGAUUCUGGAAGGAUAUGGAAGAAGGAAACAAAACCAGAAGGUUAGCAGUGACAAUAACAAGGAAAGAGAAGAAAAUGGGUAUAAAUAUCCUACUUCCCUCCUUUUAUAGCCUGAACAAUGUCAACUUCCAAUCAUGGGGAAUAAUUAAACCAAGGUCAGAGUCAUCUUCGGAUCUCAGGAUGCCAUUGCCUUCUUCCUGUGUUCAAAGCAAGUUCUGGUGUAAGUGGAAAGCCAUGGGGAGAUAUAACAUGCUCACCUUGCACUCACUUUGGGUCUCACUGGACUCCCACGUCCUGUGAGUCCACCAGAAUUCCAAAUCAGGAAUUGCAAACUCUAUAAGGGAAUGGUAUGGCAGGAACAGUGAACACCAAGUUGUGCUUAUCUUCUGCACUCACCUGCGUGCUUGGAUAUUCUGUCAAAAUCCACUUGCAAAACACAAGUUCAAGAUAAAAACUAUCAAGAAUUUCAAGGCAGUUUCAGCAGAACAUUAGACCGAGUCUGAGGCUCUCUGAGCGUGGGGCCCAGGAGACAGCACAUGUGACAUGCCCAGGAAGCAGACCCCACCACAAUGUAUACAAUGGCAAUUCUGAACCCAGACAGUCUUAGUCCAGACCUCAUGCUCUUCAUCAUCAUGCUCUGUUGCCCCUCAGACUGUGCCCAGAUGUUUUUCUGUACACAUCUAGGGUGGGUGGAAGGCCUUAGAUGUCCAGCUUUCUCAUUUUACCAACAAGAGGCCCAAAGAGCCAGGAUACAAAACCUUGAUAUACUGAUUCCAGAUCUCCUCAAUCAAAUUGAAUGCAUCAAAACGAAAGCUGCAUCUUCUUGCCCUCGCUACACCCUCUUGCAUCCAUUCUUCCUUUCUUGAGCCCCUUGUCAUUUGCCACUCACAGCAAUCCUGUUCAGUUUCUGUGUGCGUAGUUAUAUGAACCCCCAUCACCUCCACCAUCACCCAGAGAAGAGCCCAUGGACAAGCCUGGGAAAGCCAUAUCUUCCACAAGAAUCUCCCUACAGCUGUGGGGUAACAGACACCCUCUUCCUCUGGGAUGCUGGGACCUGAGGACUGUGAAACCAUUGAGCAUCCAACUUGUCACCAGGCAGAGAAGGACUGUCUGAGAACAACGUCUACAAGGAGGAAAGCAGAGCUGAGAGAUGCACAGUAGAAUCCCUGCCCGUGAGUUCAACUUCUUUUUUUUUUUUUUUUUUUUUUUUUACAGGCAGAGUGGACAGUGAGAGAGAGAGAGAGAGAGAGAAAGGUCUUCCUUUGCCAUUGGUUCACCCUCCAAUGGCCGCCACGGCUGGCACGCUGCAGCCGGCGCACCGCACUGAUCCGAAGGCAGGAGCCAGGUACUUAUCCUGGUCUCCCAUGGGGUGCAGGGCCCAAGCACUUGGGCCAUCCUGGACUGCACUGCCGGGCCACAGCAGAAAGCUGGCCUGGAAGAGGGGCAACCGGGACAGAAUCCAGCACCCUGACCGGGACUAGAACCUGGUGUGCUGGCACCGCUAGGCGGAGGAUUAGCCUAGUGAGCCACGGCGCCGGCCGAAGUUCAACUUCUGAACAUCUCCAUCCUGUCUUCUGUAACAUCAGUGAGUGUCAAUAAGCUCCCCUGUGUUCCUUUAGCCAAUUUGAAUACCAUUUGUUAUUUGCCACAAAGGGUCUUGGUUAACAGAAGUGGAGAUGCAGAUUUUUAGAAUCAUCCUAUAAACAGAGGUCUAAAGAUAAAGCUCAAGGGGACUUCAUUUGAGGAGAGAACAAGGGAAGAGAAGCCAGGGCAGACUAAGGGAGCCGUGAUGGAGUCUGCAGAUCCAACCCAGCGUAGUGUCUACCAGGCCAGAGGAGGAAACAGGUUGUCGACCAGGUAAUAUAGGAAGUCUUAGCAAGAUGAGUCCUGAGAUGAGUCUUCUGACCCAGAAAUCAGGAGGUCAGAGGAGACUUGCACCAGGGGCUUGUUUACUACAGGAAACCAAGCCAGGGGACUGGGGGUUAAAGAAUGAAUGAAAAAAAAAAUCUGUGCUGAAAAUGGUAGGUGGGGGCAAGCAUUUGGUGCUUGGGAUGCCUGCAUUCCACACCAGAGUGCCUAAUUUCAAAUCCUGCCUCCAGCUUCCUGCUAAGAACACCCUGGGGUGCAGCAGAUGAUGGUUCAAGUACUAGGGUUCCUGCUGCUAUUCUCUCUUCCCCCACUCCCUGCCUCAUCUCUCAAAUAAAAUGAAAAACAAUGGUGUGUGGAGUACAUAUACUGGUCAUGGUGACUGCUACUUCCUCCUGAGACAUAAGUGGAGUAAGAGGAAAAUGAUUUUUAAAAAGUUUUGAUCUACAAGGAUGUUGAGAAUGAGAGACAAGAGCUUAGUGGAUAAAAAUUGGCAAUAGCAAAUUAAAAAUGCCAAAAAAAAAAAUGUUCAGGAAAACUGUUGGCUUUGCAAAGUGGAGGAAGCAGAGACACCUGGGAGUCAAUGUGUGGUCCUGGUGGGGAAACCCUGGCAACCCCAGAGCUAAGGCACAGGUAGCUUGGAGAGCAAGACUCAAGGUGGGAAACAGGGAGGCUGUAUGCAAGCCUCUGUUAGAGCAAUCAGACCCUUCCCUGAUAUGUCCAACCCUUUAUAGUUCGAUCACCAACCCCCUAAUCUUCACAAGAAGAUCCAGAGAAUUAUUCUAGAAACCAGAGAAUUAUUCUCUGGAGACCAAGAAAGGAUCAGUAUUCUGACCCUGGGAUAGCUGCAGAGUCGGCAUCAUGGAUGAAGUUCUCUGUCUUAACCUGAAGAAUUAAUGAAGGGCCACAUACCAAUGACCAGGGAACCAGGAGUCAGACAUACGUUCUCUACGAAAGCCAUUGAAAGAGUUCCUCUGCAGGAACAAUUUCCCUGGGGUGGUUUGUACAAUGGCAGUUUGGAAAAACAGGAAUUACAUUUAGCAUAGUCCCUUCACUGUGUGCUUCUGGGUUAGGGUGAGGAGAGGAAUCUGGGUGAAGCAUAGAAAGCUGAAAAGAGAAGCAGCUUCCACUGUUCUCUAAAGAGCAACAUAAAGCUCUUGGCCCACUGGAGCCCCCAAGCACUGUCACUGUAGUCUGGGUCACCCUAAGGGUGUAGGGCAAUCUGCCAGGCCCACAGGUUCCCAUCGACUCCCACAUUCUGGGCCAGGCUCGUGUGCAGCUCUGCUGGAAAGGCCCCUGAUUCUUUGGCAGGUCACCUGCAAUCGAUGAGCUUGAGUGGCAACAGCACCUUGAACUGAGUGUCUGAGUAUCACAAACUAGGUGGCUGAAAACAAUAUGAAUUUGUUGUCUCACAGGUAUGGAGGUGAGAAGUCUAAAAUCAAGGUAUCAACAAGGCCACACACCUCUGGAAUCUAUAGAGGAACUCUUCCAUGCAUCUUUCUAAUUUCCCAGUUGGCUGCAAUCUGUGGCGUUUCCUGGAGUGUAGCUACUUAACCAUACAACAUGGUUGGAUUUGAGGAUUGACUUUAACAUUAGUCUCAUUUCUUUGUGUUUCUGGUCUUGAUUUUUUUUAUCCAUAACAUGAGGAUUGUGUUAGCUUAUUAAAUGGGUUUAUGCUGACAACAAUAGAAAAAACCACUCCAUUUUUCAAUAAAAAGUCUGGUUCCUUCUCCACGCCUGGCACUGUACAUGGACCCACAGAAAUUCUAGUCUACAAGACAGGCACCAUUUUCUGCAGCUUCAUGAAGUUUGCAGUCUAGAAGGAAUGAGUCACACAUAUUCAGAACAAAUAAAUUAUAAUGUAUUCAUACAGUGGAAUACUACAGCAGUAAAAAAAUAAAUUCUGAUACACACACCAUCUGGAUGCCUCUCACAGCCACAAGGGCAAAUACCUAUAAGAAGUUCAAGAAUUGGAAAAUUAGCCUGUGGUGAUAAAAGUUAGAGAAGAGAAUCACUUAUGGGGCGAAGGUAGACUAUCUUCAAGGGUGUUGGAAAGGUGCUAUAGUUUGACCAGGGUGGGGUUCCUCAGAUUUAUUUAUAAAAAGCCUUCAAGAUUAGGCAUUUUACUGGGGUAGGUUAUACCUGAAUGCAAUCUUAACAAAUAUUCCCAGAUAAUUCAUUAUUUGCAGUAAGUAUUACCAAGAAAAAUUAUGUAUUCCAGAAGAGGACAUUGUCUGAGAUGAGAGUAUAUGAAAGAACUCCAGAGAGGGUGCAGCCAGAGGCAGUGGGGAUAAGAAAGACCAGCAUGAGGAGGUAAGCUUGGACCACAGCAGGCAGCCACUCUUACCCAUGAUAAGGGCAUUGUGCUCAUCUCUGGGACCUAUGGCAGGGCUUUCAAGCAUGUAGUACAUCAUCAAUUAGUUUGCAAAGAGUAGAUGUUCAGUCCAGUUACUUUCCCUACUGGUUGAGUUAGCGAAAGAGCAUCUCUCUGUGGCAAUACGUUAUUUCCCAAUUUGUAUUUGGGGGUCUGCUCAUUUAAUAUAGACCUCAUUUUGUCAGCCUCUUGGGCAUGAGACAAAAGUACCACUGAGCCAAUGUCUGACAUGUACACAGAUCUGUGCAGGUAUACUGCCCUGAGACGUAACUCUGAGGAUGGACUAUAUCCUGAUUGUACAAAAACAAGAUCCUUUUCUGCAGAGCCAGUCAACAUGUUCAUCUAGAGCACCACUGCUCAGACAGUGCUCCCUGCAGCAUCAAUUGGUAUCUAUAUCUGGCCAUAGUUCCAGUUUUUAUGUUGUAGGAUUUGUUAGGGAGUUUAUGAUUGUUUAGGAGGGGGAACCACAUACAACAUUCCCCAAUUUAUUUGAACCAGGUAGCCUUUUUCUAGGGUGAACAUCAUUAGCAAGUUAAGGUAUUAUUCAACAAAACAUGCUUUGGGAAAUGUUGAUCUGAAGUAUGACAGCACUGCGCAUGGGUACUUCCUAGUAGUGAGUGAUUUGUGAUACUACAGAGGGCGGUAGUCUGCUUUAUCUUGAUUCAUUUUCAAGAUAAAUAUAAAUAGCUGACAGUGCAGUGGUUAUUUUAUUUUUGUGUCUCAUGAAGUUUUAUUUUCUCUUUUGCCACUGUCUUCUCACUUUCUCCAUUUGUUCUUUGGAAGCUCUUUCAUCUCUAUUGGGCACAGAUUAAUCUCUUUUCUGGUAAUUUUAAGUAGCUAAAAUCUUCUCUGAUUUUUUAUAUCAUGUGAAAGAAAUUUUACUUUUUUUAACCUCUUUCAGAAAUUAUAAUAAAGCUAAUUGGACUCAGGUCUCCAUCCUAACCAUCACCAUUGACACAUAAAAUAGUGUUUUUCAUAUCUUAAGCCCAAAAUCAUGUUAUCUCUUGUAGACAAUUUUAGUGGAACAGACUGCAAAGAGCCCUAGAAAUGUUAAUUGUGCUACGUCUGACACAUGGAGAACUUUAGGUAUUCAAUUCGAGCUGUGCAUUUUCUUUGCAAUUUUCAAAAUGCACAGCCUCACACUCUCUUUCAAAGGCCCUGGUAUCAUCCAGAAGCAAUUACGAAGAAAAACGAAAUUACCUUUCGUCAUUCUAUCUAUUCAGGGCCUUGGAAAUGCAGACUGACAAUGAGCUGACAAUUAUUUGCAAUCCACUUUCAGUUAAUUUCACCAUAAAUUGAGCCUGAGGACUGCUGACAAAUAAAAUAUAUUAUUCAUCUGAAAACAUUCUCUUUGGACUCCGGUUCUCCAAUCUAUUUCAUUAGUGAUCACGAUCAAACCAAGUUGGGAAUUGAUUUAUGCAAUAGUUAUCCCUCUACCAUAAUUAAUUAGGAAAAUAAUACUUUGGUAGAGCUUUGAAAAGGAGCCAUUUCUAAGGCUCCUUGAUAAAAUAGAAAACUUUUAAAAUAAUUAUGAAGCAGCAUUCCUAAGGGAAUAGGUAUGCAUUGCAUUGACUUUCCUAUUUCCACAAAACACUGGGCUUAACCCAUAGUCAGGGAUAGUUCCUUGAAUCUCAAAUGAGUUCUUUGAACAAUUUUUGAGCAUGUAUUAUGUGUCGGGCACUGUGGCUAGGUCUGUGAGGGUACUGAAAUGGAGUAACUUCAAUGAAUGCACCUGCACAGAGAGCCAUAUGUUAACUGUUUUAAAUGCUGCUAUAGACAUAGUCACAAAGUAUGUUUGCAAUUAUAGAAGCUCCAGGGAAUGCUUCAUGGAAGAAAGUAGCAUCAGAAUUUGUCCUAAGACAAUGGGUACAAUUUCAAUUGCCUGAUAUGAGAGGUGGUGGGUUAGAAGGAAUAGAAGUGCAAUUCUAGGCAGAGAAAAUAAUAUCAAUAAUUGCAAAGAACUAGAAAAAAUCCAAGUAGGUUUGAGAAGAUGUGAAAAGACUAGAGUGGCUGUGAGAGGUGAGCAAAGGAAGGUACGCUGGACCAGAUUGUGAAGAGGAGACUUAAAGUCCAUUAACAUCUGUGUUGUACAGAUGACAAAUCUGAUGGGAGUAUCAUCGGGGGAAGGAAGAGAUAACUGGAAAGUAUUGUCAUAGUCCCAGCAAGAGGCAACAAAAAAUUGUGGAAGAGGAAAAAGUGAUGCAAUAAUGAACAUAAUUGGCAACCAUUUAGUUCAUCCCUAGAGAAGUAAAGGCACAUUGAGAUCAAGGAGUUAGAAGAAUUUUGUGGCUGUUGAAGCUUGGAGGCUGUGAGCAACGGAUGGUGAGGAAAAGACUUAUGAAUCAAGGGCAGAAGCCUAGCUAGAAGGUGGGCUGUCCUGGAAUGUGACAAGUGAGCAUGAUGCUUGUUCACUCUUGGUUCAUGUAUUCAUUCAAGAACCUGUCAUUGGGAACCUACUCCAGGGCACUGCGACACCAAUAAGCUUUGAUCAAAGGAGGAAUUUAUUUUCUUUGGUAGGGAAAAGUUUCUAGGUUAGAACUAGAAAGUAGAAAGUCAUGGAAUUUGAGAUAAGGUUUCCAGGUCAUCAAAAACUUGUAAUGAAAUGGAAAAAAAAUGAUGCCGUUCCAGCUUGUGCUUCCUAUCACUUGCAAGGCAAGAAGAGGACUAGGAAAGAAUGAACAACUUGUGUGCUGAAUCUUACCCACCCACCUUGAAGGACUUUUCCUAUAAAUCAUCCACUUAACUGUAUUGUUUAGAAGUGGGUCAUGGGGUCAGGACUGUGGCGUAAUGGAUAAUUCCACUUCCUGCAGUACAGGCAUCCCAUGUGGGUGCCACUUUAUGUCCUGGCUGCUCCACUUCUGAUCCAACUCCCUGCUAAUGUGCCUGGGAAAGCAGUAGAAGAUGGCGCAAGUACUUGGGCCCUUACACCCAUGUGAGACCCAGAAAAAGUUCCUGGCUCCUGGCUUUAGAUGGGCCCAACUUUGGCUGUUGCAACCAUUUGGGGAGUGAACCAGUGGAUGGAAGAUCCCUCUCUCUCCGUGUCUCUCCUUCUCUCUCUGUAACUCUGACUUUCAAGUAAAUAAAUAAAUCUUGUGGGGAAAAAAAGAAAUGGGUCACAUAUCUGCUCCUAAUCUCAAUGAAAGCAUGGGAUAUGGGAAAUGUAGAACCUGAGCACAUUUCACACUCAACCAGUUUUUCUUUUAAAGACUUGUUUUGUUUACUUGAAAGGCAGAGUUACAGAGAGAGAGAGAGAGAGAGAGAGAGGGAGAAGCAGAGAAAAAGAGAUCUUUCAACCACUGGUUCACUCCCCAAAUGGCCACAAUGGCCAGGGCUGGGCCAGGCCAAAGCCAGGAGUUCAGAGCUUCUUUCAGGUCUCCUAUGUAGGGGCAAAGGCCUAAGCACUUGGGCUAUCUUCUGCUGCUUUCCCAGGCACAUUAGCAGGGGGCUGGAUUGGAAGUGGAGCAGCCGGGACUCAAACCGGUGUCCAUAUAGGAUGCCGGUGUCUCAGGCUGCAGCUUUUACUUGCUACACCACCACAAUGGGCUCCCCUCAGCCAGUUUUGCUGGAAAGGAGGCAAGGAAAAAUGGACACCACAUAGACAACUGGUAGCUCCAUUCUGCAUAUUUAAAUGCAUCUGUCAUUCUAUCUUCUUGGCUGAUUCAAAGGUUACCAGAAUGUAGGAUUCUAGGUUAAAAGUGGUUUUUCUUUAGACUUUUGAACACAUUUCCCCAUGUGUUCCAGCAUCCAUCUCUUGAGAAAUCAUGCCAUUCUGAUUCUCAUUUCUGUUAGGGGACCCGGUCUUUCUCUCAUCUUCAGUGGAAUUUGAGAUAAGGUACUUCUCUUCAUCUUCAGUGUUCAGAAAUGUCAUCGUAAUUGUGACUUGGUAUGGAUCACGCUUCCAUCCCUUAGCCAUGAUAAUUGGAGGAUCUUUCCAAUUCUGAUACUGCUUUAGUAGUUCUUUGAGAAUCCCCUCCCCUAAUAUCUUCUAUUAGAUGUCUGACCUUCUGAACAUUUCAUUGGCUUUAGCUUCCAACUCUAAUAUUGAAUUUUUAAAUUUCAGCUAUCUUUUUAAAAAAUCUCAAAAGGCUCAUUUUAAAUUGUCUAAUUAUGCCGGCGCCGCGGCUCACUAGGCUAAUCUUCCGCCUUGCGGCACCGGCACACCGGGUUCUAGUCCCGGUCGGGGCGCCGGAUUCUGUCCCAGUUGCCCCUCUUCCAGGACAGCUCUCUGCUGUGGCCAGGGAGUGCAGUGGAGGAUGGCCCAGGUGCUUGGGCCCUGCACCCCAUGGGAGACCAGGAAAAGCACCUGGCUC